GAGGUGCGUCGCGAGGUGUUUUAGAGAGCUGUGUGGCCGCAGACCCGAAUGGUGUCUGCGGCUUCAGCAGUGGCGUCCGGGAAAGUCUGUUAAGUGUUGAGGAAAAGUCGGGGUGAGUUCAGGACACCGGCGCAGUUUUAAGUUGAAUUUUGGGUCCACAACGAUUUACACAGGAAAUGUUUGCAUAUUCAAUGGUGGCCCUUCCAGUACACCUGCCUGAGGAACCAACGAGUAAACGGAGGGAGGAGGAAUUUGGAGACGCACCAGAUAAGGCUUACCGGGGAGGGAGACCUUCCUUUCUGGGGACGGUAGCGAACAGGUGGAGCCCUAGAGGUUGGGAGGUGUUAGCACCAUCCGGUGCGUGGCGAGGCCGAUGUGAUACCCGUGGUCUUCAGUCUGGCUGGAGGGGUUCGCCACUGGCCACCAUUUAAGUGUGAAAAUGGAUCUGGAGUAGCAAGACUGGAGCCCUGUUAGGAGGCCAUUAUAAUCUAGAGAGGAAGAGAGAGAAAACUUUGAAGUGAGAGAGAAACAUCAGUUGAGCCCCUCCUGUAUCCCCUGACUGGGGUGGAGCCCACAGCCUGGGUGUGUCCCCUGACCCGGGUUUGGACCCGCAACCCUCUGGUGCACAGGACGGCGCUCCGACCAACCGAGCCACCUGGCCAGGGCAAGUCACAGCAUGAAUGGGCACAUCAAGAUGGCACAGACUAUGAUGGCAGCCUGGUGUUUACCCCCUCGACAAGCUUGUGUUCUACCAGCUUCCACCAGGGCCGGGGCACCUGUGAGGAUCCGUGCCUCCUCACAGAAGCCCACGUGAGGAAAGGAGCUGAUCACGCAGGAACUGGCACGGGCAGAACGGCAGAGCCACCCCCCACCUUCGGGCUCACCGUGAUGCCAGCAGUCUUUGGACAACGCGGAGUCAGCCCAACAAGGCCACCUGCUUUUAGCCAUUCUGGCCUUGGCCGCGGGACCAAGUUGGAGGGGGCUGGGCUGGAUUCAUGCCUGGCCUUCUGUGGCCAUCUCUGCUUCUGCCUGAGGCUCUGUCGACAGCUGCACCUGGAUGGAGGGAGCUGGUGGUAGCCCGCGCUGCCCUGCUUGGGGGGGGGGGCACCGACCACUGAUUGGCAGCUGUGCCUCCAUGUGGGAUGCUGAGGGUCUGGAAAGUCAGCCUCGUGAGGUGAGUGGAGUGUAAAGUGGGGUGAGAACCACUGCUGCUCCGGAACCUGCAUUUUCCGAGGAGGCUGAGGUCUGCAAAGUCUGCAACUGCAACUGGUCUCAUGUGGGCACCGUCUUGUUUCCACAGCUGGGACUCUGCUGAGCCUCCCACAGGCUCUCUCUGUGCAUGUUCCCACCCCCCAGUGAAGAAUUCAGCUGUAGGAAUGUUGCAGCCCAUGGCUUCCCACGGUGGUGCAGGGAGAAGCACCAGGACAGUGUGGCUACUGUAGUGUCCUCCCCACUGGUCAGGCUACAUCACCUCUGUCCUGCACUCUGAGGAGCAGCGAUACUCAGAGCACAGAAGGUAAUGAAAACAGACCGCUUCUCGUGGGAUAGCUUGCCGUGA